GACCCCUCCUUAAGUCAAGGACCUUUUCCUUCUUUCAUGAAUUGGUUCUGUUACAAGUUGGGAAGAGUAAAAGCAACUCGCUUGCCUGGGGCCGUCUUGGCUCUGGGUAGAGUGGCUUCCGUUUUGGUUGCUGUUCGCUAGAGUUUCGCGUGAUUUGUUUGAGUUGAGGGCCGUCUCUGCAUCCGCAGCUUCAUGGCGGCUCUCUUAGUAAUAUUUCACACACUC
rnacentral:snoRNA from 1 species